rnacentral:rRNA from 1 species
CAGUAGCGUAUAUUAAAGUUGUUGCAGUUAAAAAGCUCGUAGUUGGAUUUCUGGCUUUCUGCGCCUGGCCCGCCCACGUUAGUGGUGUGAGUGUCGGUGCGCGGUUGCCAUCCUUCUAGAGAACGUGUCUACCUUUAAUUAGGCCGGAUUCGGGAUCUAGAUCAUUUACUUUUGAAAAAUUAGAGUGUUUAAAGCAGGCAUACGCCAUUGAAUACAUUAGCAUGGAAUAAUAAGAUAGGACCUCGGUUCUAUUUUGUUGGUUUCUAGAGCUGAGGUAAUGAUUAAUAGGGAUAGGUUGGGGGCAUUAGGUAUUUAAUUGUCAGAGGUGGAAUUCUCAGAUUUGUUAAAGACUAACUUAUGCGAAAGCAUUUGCCAAGGAUGUUUUCAUUAAUCAAGAACGAAAGUUAGGGGAUCAAAGAUGAUCAGAU